GAAAAAGCAAUUCUUAAAAGAUUAAAAGAAAAAGACCAUGUCUGUGACCUUGUCAAAAAUAACACUUUCUCAAGUGAUGUUCAGACAUUGUUCUCUACUUCUCCAUCAAGUAAAGAAAGAAAUCGACUUUUAUUUUCUGCUCAGUUUUUACAAGCAGCUAAAGAUGUCAUUUUGUCUGGUGUGUGUAGUGAUGACCUCAUCCAAGCUGCUGUAUUAUGCUCUAAAUAUUACAGAGAUCACAUGAUAGAGGCUAAAUCAGUUCUCAAGGAACUAACAAUGCAGAAACUACUUUACCAUAUCGUGGCUAAAGUACCAUCGCAGUCUCAUCAAGAUGUGAUGUUGGAACUAGGAGAAGAAAUGUAUAUUAUGUUAGAACUGGUUAAAGACAAUGUAGAAGCAGCUACACCCAUGAUUAAUAAUUCUUACAGUCUCUUUUGGAAUAUUGCUGGAGAAUUUGAAAAAAAUGAUUCAUUCAGUGAUUACUCAGUCACGCUUAAACUCCGAAUUCUAGCGUCAAAGUUAUUAUUGUUGAAACCAACCACAACACAGACUAAUAUAGACAAAUUUAACCUAUCUGUGGAACGAUAUGGAUACCUAAUGAAAAAUAAAAAGAUGUGUGUUAUGAAAAAGGAAGUGGAAAUCAAAACUCAUUUUGAAUUGAUUUCUAGUUUUUCAAACAUACUUAUUAAAUCCUCAUCCAACUCAAAGUCUCAUCAUGUUGAUGUGUCCAGAGUAUUAUGCCAUUUAGUAAAACUACUGAUGAAAUUCGAUCUUCAUCAAGAAAUUCUCUCUUAUAUCGAACUUCAGAAUAGCCAGUAUGAUAGCCAUGUGGUCAUAAAACUAUCGCUCAACAUCUUAGCAAUCUUAAAUUUCUUUAAUAUGUCAGCUGAAUCAAAAUAUUUUUCACAUGAAAAACUGCAGGAAUCUUUUGAACUCAUAAA